rnacentral:rRNA from 1 species
UAGAUACCCUGGUAGUCCACGCCGUAAACGAUGAUUGCUAGCCGUUGGGCAGCUUGCUGUUCAGUGGCGCAGCUAACGCAUUAAGCAAUCCGCCUGGGGAGUACGGCCGCAAGGUUGAAACUCAAAGGAAUUGACGGGGGCCCGCACAAGCGGUGGAGCAUGUGGUUUAAUUCGACGCAACGCGCAGAACCUUACCAGGGUUUGACAUCCUGCGACCGCCCCGUAACGGGGGUUUUCCCGCAAGGGACGC